CGCUGUCGCCGGCGCGUGCCGACGGAUUGCUGACGGGGCGUCACUUCGCACGUUCAGCGUCACGGACGCCAACGACCAGAGUUUCAUAACUUGCUCAAUUUAGGCGCCACAGGACAGCUUCUUCAACGUGGUUCCUGGCACGGCGCCGACAUUUGCCAUCUGGGUGAAAGCCGGCGUGAAGUUGGACGCGGCGACGUCACCUCUCCUCGUUAACGUUCAGUGCGUUGAUGACAGAUCGCCGGCGAAUAUCAUAACCGAAACGUUCACGGUUCCCUUACUUGAUAAGCCUCCGACGUUCGUUACGGGAAUUCCCGGCACAUCUCCGUCUAUUUCCGACUCGACCGUCACCGCGACGUCACUCGGUGUCUUCACCGUUACCGAUCCCGACACGACAUGCAGUAUUACGUCAUCGCUGACGUCAGUGUAUGAGAUCAGAUCCGUGACGUCACCGGCAGAU